rnacentral:rRNA from 1 species
UACAGAGGUCCCAAGCGUUGUUCGGAUUCACUGGGCGUAAAGGGUGCGUAGGCGGUCGGGUAAGUCUGACGUGAAAUCUUCAAGCUCAACUUGGAAACUGCGUCGGAUACUAUUCGGCUAGAGGAAUGGAGGGGAGACUGGAAUACUUGGUGUAGCAGUGAAAUGCGUAGAUAUCAAGUGGAACACCAGUGGCGAAGGCGAGUCUCUGGACAUUUCCUGACGCUGAGGCACGAAAGCGCGGGGAGCGAACAGG